GGAUGGUUUGAGCUUCCAACUGAACUGCAUUAAACAUUUCAAAUAUGUCUUUCUUAUAAGGCACCUAAAACAUCAUCCAAGCUACCUGCAUGGAGAAGAACCCUGAGCCUAGAAAAUCUGAAGCAUUUCUAAGGAGUAUUAAGCAUAUGCAACAAAUAUGCUUCUAUGCUCCAGGGAAGACAUUAUAGUUACCAUCUAAGCCUCUUUACCUUCAACAUCUGGCCCAAAUUUAUUUUGUACUGGAGAGGAAUACUACCUUCUGCAUGCCUAGAAGCAUGCCUCUUACCAGCAGACAUCUUCCAAGGGAAAUGAUGUGGAGCAAAGGAAUGAGCACACAAACACUCAUGUCUUAAGUCUAAAACAAAAACCCAAAAGUGUUUGCUUUGUAUCGCAUAUUAUUUUUUUAUUUUGUAUUUUCCAUUCUCUUUUCAUUUCACCAUGGAUGUUUUCUACAAGCCUAUACUUAUACUUACUAAUGCUUUCUUCCGUUAAUCUUCCAUUAAAAUCCAUACUGAACUCUUAAUUUUAAAAAUAAUUAAAAUUAUUGUUUAAACAUUUCUAUUUUUAAGAUUUUUAUAUUGUUUCUUUAGAAAAUAAAUUCUAGUUCUCUGGUAAAAUUCUUUAUCCUGUCAAAUAUUUUCUUGAACAUAUUAAGGUUUUUUCAAAGUCUGUGCUUGUUCACUCCAAAAAAAUAGUGUGCCUACAUGUCUGUUUCUUAUAUAUGUAUAUAAAAAUUACCACAAAAAAAGGAAUCUAAUUUAUAGUGACAAUAGAUCAGUGGUUGACUGUGGCUGUGAGCAGGGGAAGGAAUUAACAAUAAAGAGGCAUAGGUAAAUAUUUUGGGGAGAAGAAAAUUUUCUGUACUUUGAUAGUGGUAGUAGUUACAUAAUGUCAAGUUUUUCUUUUGGUCUCAUACUGUUACAUACUCUUUAGUUAUUCAUCUAAUGUUAGAUAUUUUGUAUGAAAUAAAACUAAGCUACUCCUUCAUACAUUACAAAAUAUUGAAAGCUUAACAUGUGCCAGUCCUUUUACUGGGGAUCUAGCACUAAAACAGGACAGACACAGCUUCCAUACUGACAGAGCUUCCAGUUCCUUGGUGGACCUUUCUAAUUCCUGAAGUUCUUUGGGCUUUCAAAGUUGUUCACACUCUUUUAUUUACCCAGAAUGCCAUGGUCCCUGUGUUUGUAUGCUCAAAUCAUAUACAUAUUUUUAAAUGUUACAAUUUUUAAAUACAAUUUUAAAUGUUACAGCCUCAAUAAAUCUGUCUAUAUUAAAAGUAAUCUUAUGUUAGUCUGAGCUUUCAUGUUAAAUGAUCUGUUCCUCUAAUGGUAUUUAUAUAAUCUGCCUGCCUGGUAAUAUUAAUGAAGUAUCCCAUAUAACCAGAUUUCAAACUCUUUAAGUACAAGGACCUUGUCUUACUAACUCUUGUAUGUACUAUGGUAUGUAAAAAAGUGCCUGAUCGUAGUAAACAUAUGUAUUAAGUGAAUAUUUGACUGUGUCAUUAUAAUGUUUAUAAAAUUAUAGUCCAUGUUUUAAUAUUUUCUACCUAAUAAUUCACCACUCUACUUACUCCUAAUUAUUGAGCUCGAAUCACUUAUAACCCUACCAUAACUAAUUCUAGCUUGCAGCUUCCAUGAUAC
rnacentral:lncRNA from 10 species